rnacentral:rRNA from 1 species
AUUGAACGCUGGCGGAAUGCUUUACACAUGCAAGUCGAACGGCAGCACGGGAUAUAGCUUGCUAUAUUUGUCAGCUAAGUGGCGCACGGGUGGGUAAUGUAUAGAUAACCUGCCCUCUAGAAAGGAAUAACAGUUGGAAACGACUGCUAAUGCCCUAUAUGCCUUUAAUACAUAAGUAUGCAAGGGAAACGCUUUAGUGCUAGAGGAUGGGUCUGUAUGGUAUCAGCUUGUUGGUGAGGUAAUGGCUCACCAAGGCUAUGACGCCUAACUGGUUUGAGAGGAUGAUCAGUCACACUGGAACUGAGACACGGUCCAGACUCCUACGGGAGGCAGCAGUGGGGAAUAUUGCACAAUGGACGAAAGUCUGAUGCAGCAACGCCGCGUGGAGGAUGACACAUUUCGGUGCGUAAACUCCUUUUAUAUAGGAAGAUAAUGACGGUACUAUAUGAAUAAGCACCGGCUAACUCCGUGCCAGCCGCCGCCGUAAAAC